UUGCCUUUUUUAAUUUGUGUGAUAUUCUUAGUAGGAAUAAAUUGUUACAAUCAACUAAAUCUGUGAAUAUUAGGGAGCAAGUAGUUAUAUUUUUACAUAUAAUUGGUCAUAAUGUAAGGUUUCGAGUGAUUGGAUCUAGAUAUUAUAGAUCAACUGAGACAAUUCACCGUUACUUUAGGGUUGUAUUGAGAGCUAUUUUGAAAUUGUAUAAACUAGUUAUUAGAUUACCUGAUGAGUCAACUCCUAGUAAAAUCAGAAACAAUCCAAGGUUUU
rnacentral:lncRNA from 1 species